AAUGUCUGAGAUAAAACAUGUUAAAUUGAGGGAAAAAAAUCUACAUAUAGAUCUGUGCACACACACACAUGAGUGCAUGCGUGCACGCACACACACACAAAUUUAGUCAUUACACUAAGAGGCCAGUGAAUGUUUUAGAGAGCAUCCUGUUGCUGGAAGAGAUACACACAGCAAGCCAUAGAAGCAACACAAUCUGUUUCAUAAACAGAUACACAUGCUAGAAUCUUAAAGCUGGGAAUUUAAACAUUAUUAGCAUUCAUGAGAAACAUUACAAUUCAUUGACUAUUAAUAUCUAGAACGGGAAUAGGCUUGUACAUGUAUAUGCUCUCAUGGACCUAAAUGUAACUUUUUUCUUAGAAAUUCAUUUAAAAUUUAGACUUUUUUUUUUUUUUUCAAAUUUCUUAGCUCAUUUCCUACUUGCUUUGCUAUGGCUAAACCCAGAUCUUAUUUAGGUUUAAAGAACCUCUAAAAAAUUAAAGUGAUAAAAUAUCAAUGCAAUACAAAUUACAACACAUUCACAAGAGGUGAUAUUACAAAAAAAAAAAAAAGCAAAGUAUAAAUUGGGGGGUGGGAAUCCAGAUAUAAAGGUAAAAACACUGUCUUCCAAACUUUUAUUUUUACACUUAUUAAAAUAAUUUGCAUGCAAACAGAAAAUUAUCUGUUUUGUAGUAAGUGAAAACUAUGCUCAUCUAACAUACCCUGGUGACUAACUCUUUACAUCCUAGUAACUGAAGUCAACAUUACAGCAAAAUGCUGUUCACUAGUAUUUUCACAGUAUCUCACUACAUAUAAAAUAUUCUUUAAAAUGUCUUCACCCUUUUUAUUCUAAUUAUCUAAACCUAGAAAAUCUUGACAUUUGGGAAAUAAAUGUGCC
rnacentral:lncRNA from 1 species